UACGGGGGGGUAAGCGUUGUUCGGAAUUACUGGGCGUAAAGGGCUCGUAGGCGGCCAACUAAGUCAUACGUGAAAUCCCCAGGCUCAACCUGGGAACUGCAUCCGAUACUGGAUGGCUUGAAUUCGGGAGAGGGAUGCAGAAUUCCAGGUGUAGCGGUGAAAUGCGUAGAUAUCUGGAGGAAUACCGGUGGCGAAGGCGGCAUCCUGGACCGACAUUGACGCUGAGGAGCGAAGCCAGGGGAGCAAACGGG
rnacentral:rRNA from 1 species